rnacentral:misc_RNA from 1 species
GAUGAAGAACGUAGCGAAAUGCGAUAAGUAAUGUGAAUUGCAGAAUUCCGUGAAUCAUCGAAUCUUUGAACGCACAUUGCGCCCUCUGGUAUUCCGGGGGGCAUGCCUGUCCGAGCGUCAUUGCUGCCCUCAAGCACGGCUUGUGUGUUGGGCCCCCGUCCCCGGUUUCCCCCGGGGACGGGCCCGAAAGGCAGCGGCGGCACCGCGUCCGGUCCUCGAGCGUAUGGGGCUUUGUCACCCGCUCUGUAGGCCCGGCCGGCGCCAGCCGACACCCAACUUUAUUUCUAAGGUUGACCUCGGAUCAGGUAGGGAUACCCGCUGAACUUAAGCAUAUCAAUAAGCGGAGGA